rnacentral:rRNA from 1 species
GUCCACGCCGUAACGAUGGAUACUAGCUGUUGGGAGCAAUCUCAGUGGCUAAGCGAAGUGAUAAGUAUCCCACCUGGGAGUACGUUCGCAAGAAUGAACUCAAAGGAAUUGACGGGCCCGCACAAGCGGUGGAGCAUGUGGUUUAAUUCGAUGAUACGCGAGGAACCUUACCAAGGCUUAAAUGUAGAUUGACCGUUUUGGAAACAGAACUUUCGCAAGACAAUUUACAAGGUGCUGCAUGGUUGUCGU